AAGACUAUACUUUCAGGGAUCAUUUCUAUAGUCGGUGCUUUGUGACCACCUAGAGGGGUGGGAUAGGGAGGGUGGGAGGGAGACAC
rnacentral:snoRNA from 1 species